rnacentral:rRNA from 1 species
UACGUAGGGGGCAAGCGUUGUCCGGAAUCAUUGGGCGUAAAGCGCGUGUAGGCGGCUCGGUAAGUCCGCUCUGAAAAGCCCGGGGCUCAACCCCGGGAGGCGGGUGGAUACUGCUGAGCUCGAGUCCGGAAGAGGAGUGUGGAAUUCCUGGUGUAGCGGUGAAAUGCGCAGAUAUCAGGAGGAACACCAAUGGCGAAGGCAGCACUCUGGGACGGUACUGACGCUGAGACGCGAAAGCGUGGGGAGCAAACAGG